rnacentral:rRNA from 1 species
UACGUAGGGAGCAAGCGUUGUUCGGAUUUACUGGGCGUAAAGGGCGCGUAGGCGGCGUGUUAAGUCGGGGGUGAAAUCCUGGGGCUCAACCUCAGAAUUGCCUCCGAUACUGGCAGUCUCGAGUGCGGGAGAGGUGAGUGGAAUUCCCAGUGUAGAGGUGAAAUUCGUAGAUAUUGGGAAGAACACCAGUGGCGAAGGCGGCUCACUGGCCCGUAACUGACGCUGAGGUGCGAAAGCGUGGGGAGCAAACAGG